rnacentral:sRNA from 1 species
UCAUUCCACAACCGCCUCCUCUGCUAGACUCUCUUUUUCUCCAAGCCUGUAACACAGAGCUCCAGUGGCCAUUCUUAGAGCCUGGAUUACUUCUGUGUAGAAAGUUCUAGGAGGAGGAACAGUGAAGAAGCAUCUGGAAGCCACGGGAGGGGAGAGAUGGCUUCAUCUUCUGCCUUUCCCAGAAGUCCAACUCUUUGUCCAUCCCAGGAAAGGAUUCCCUCGAUCCCCUAGGACCACCACCGGCCCUAUUACAAAAUUUCUCUCAAAGGCAGUAGACUAAUUAAUGGUCACCCUCUUUUAGCAGGCCGAGCUACCUGAGGCUUCAAUUAGUGCCACUUCAAAAGCUUUCCGAAGCAGGAGGGCACACCUGUCAUGGUGACUCAUGUGUGGAAAUCAGAGGACGGUUUUAGGAGCUGGUUCAUUUCUUCCACCGUGUUGUUGCCAGAGAUCCGACUCAAGUCCAGGCUCAGCAGUGAAUGCAUUUCCCUGCGAACUCUCUCAUCAGCCCUGUGCUUUCUCAACUUUUUCUAAUAAAAAGAUACG